AGGGUCAGACUGAAGUGAAUUAUCGGGUGCCUGGUGGUGACUGGUGAAUUGUUGGUGUGGAAAACCCAUGCUUUUGGUGCCUGACGGUGGUGUUGGUGGGAACAGAUCUGCACAGCGACAGGGCUGGCACAGCUGCUGUCACUCUCGGAGCCUUAUUUCAGUGGUCACGUGUGCAUUCAGCCGCUCAUGGCAGCUGGUGACCCUGCAGGUGCCAAGGGCACAGUGAGGAAGCUGGCGACCCUGCCUUCUAGCAGAGGACAGCCCUUCUCCCUUCACCACGAGCACAAACACUGCCUGCUCCCCAAGCCCCCCAUUCUUCAGCGGGUCCCA